GACGAACGCUGGCGGCGUGCUUAACACAUGCAAGUCGAACGGAAAGGCCCUUCUUUUGUUGGGUGCUCGAGUGGCGAACGGGUGAGUAACACGUGAGUAACCUUCCCUUGACUUUUGGAUAACUUCAGGAAACUGGGGCUAAUACCGGAUAGUAGCUCCUGCUGCAUGGUGGGGGUUGGAAAGUUUCGGCGGUUGGGGAUGGACUCGCGGCUUAUCAGCUUGUUGGUGGGGUAGUGGCUUACCAAGGCUUUGACGGGUAGCCGGCCUGAGAGGGUGACCGGCCACAUUGGGACUGAGAUACGGCCCAGACUCAUACGGGAGGCAGGAGGGGGGAAUAUUGAACAAGGGGCGGAAGCCUGAUGCAGGAACGCCGCGUGCGGGAUGAAGGCCUUCGGGUUGUAAACCGCUUUCGCCUGUGACGAAGCGUGAGUGACGGUAAUGGGUAAAGAAGCACCGGCUAACUACGUG
rnacentral:rRNA from 1 species